AGCAUCUGACUUCGGCUCAGGUCAUGAUCUCACGGUUCUUGACUUCGAAUUUUAGCCCCUGUUGAGCUCUGCCUUGACAGCUCAGAGCCUGGAGCCUGCUUCAGAUUCUUUGUCUACCUCUCUCUCUGCCCCUUCCCAGCUUGCACUCUCUCUGUGUCUCAAAAAUAA